ensembl:snRNA U6 U6 spliceosomal RNA
GUGCUCACUUCAAAAACAUAUAUAACAAAAUUUGAACAAUACAGAGAAGAUUAGCGUGGCCCCUGUGCAAGGAUGAUACACAAAUCCAAGAAGCAUUCCAUAUUUUA